GAAGGGGUAGGCACGGCACCCGUUCUAGAGAAGUGGAGUGUGUUCUACAGGCUUACAUCUCGCCGCGCGUUCUACAAAUUGUGCAGCUCCCUUCUAAGGUAUGAAUCGUGCCCAUGCCUCUCCCGUUCUAGUUCUUCUACUAACUAAUGUGAGUUUUUCCGAGACGAGUUGCCGUCCUGCUGAUUGCUAGAUUUUUAGAAGAUAAUCAAUAGAGGUGUUGGUUAGUAUUAGCUGCAGGAGAGGAAAGCGCUGGGUGCUCCCGUCGUCGUACACGGUCGCUGAGGAGAGCCGACGGCUAUGGAGGACGUCGAGUGGCAGUGGCAGUUGCUCCCGUUUCUGCUACGAGUGUAUCAACGGCGUCGUCAGCCAUCGACCCCUCCAUUUCGGGCUUGCUCGAGAUACAAAAUGCAUACGUCCAUCUCAUCGCUACGAAAUUUGUUGAAGCUGCAAGUCUGAUUAAUCAAUCCAUUCCACCGAUGUUGUUUCAGUAUUUGCCAUGCUUUUGUUUUAAUUGUGUUUUUGCACUGACAGUCAGUACAAGUAGUAGAAUAGAGUGUCAAGCAUAUCAGACAUACAUAACCUGGUCCCAUGUUGCUUUCAUGUUGAUUCAAUCAAAUCUAAUUGAUCGUUUGAGACAAUCUCUAUUUUGGUUCAGUAAUGUCAUGUUCAUUUUACUGUCGGAGUGAUCCAUCGAGUCCAUGCAUGCAUUUUUGGUUGAUUGGUUCAGUACAUAUGGCCAUGCAAUUG
rnacentral:lncRNA from 1 species